UACGGAAGGCAGCAGUGGGGAAUAUUGCACAAUGGGCGCAAGCCUGAUGCAGCCAUGCCGCGUGUAUGAAGAAGGCCUUCGGGUUGUAAAGUACUUUCAGUCGUGAGGAAGGUGUUAAGGUUAAUAACCUUAGCAAUUGACGUUAGCGACAGAAGAAGCACCGGCUAACUCCGUGCCAGCAGCCGCGGUAAUACGGAGGGUGCGAGCGUUAAUCGGAAUUACUGGGCGUAAAGGGCACGCAGGCGGUUAAUUAAGUUGGAUGUGAAAUCCCCGGGCUUAACCUGGGAAUGGCAUUCAAGACUGGUUAGCUAGAGUCUUGUAGAGGGGGUAGAAUUCCAUGUGUAGCGGUGAAAUGCGUAGAGAUGUGGAGGAAUACCGGUGGCGAAAGGCGGCCCCUGGGACAAAGGACUGACGCUCAUGUGCGAAAGCGUGGGGAGCAAACAGGGAUUAGAUACC
rnacentral:rRNA from 1 species